AAGCCCCUGUGUUUUUCAAUGGGAUAGGUUUAAAGUCAAUACAACACAUCAGGUAUCCACUUCCUGUCAGAAAAUGUCUCAGGGUUUUGCCUGCCAAAUGAGUUCUGUUAUACUCACAGACACCAUUCAAACAGUUUUAGAAACUUUAGAGUGUUUUCUAUCCAUAUAUAAUAAGUAUAUGCAUAUUCUAGUUACUGGGUAGGAUUAGUAACCAGAUUAAAUCGGGUACAUUUUUUUUUAUCCAGACGUGCAAAUGCUGCCCCCUAGCCCUAACAGGUUAAGGACAGAAAAGUCAAGGUAUUGGAGUGGCCAUCACAAAGCCCUGACCUCAAUCCCAUAGAAAAUUUGUGGACAGUGCUGAAAAAGCACGUGUGAGCAAGGAGGCCUACAAACCUGACUCGGUUACACCAGCUCUGUCAAGCGGAAUGGGCCAAAUUCACCCAACUUAUUGUGGGAAACUUGUGGAAGGCUACCUGAAACGUUUGACCCAAGUUAAACAAUUUAAAAGUAAUGCUACCAAAUACUAAUUGAGUGUAUGUAAACUUCUGACCCACUGGGAAUGCGAUGAAAGAAAUAAAAGCUGAAAUAAAUCAUUCUCUCUACUAUUAUUCUGACAUUUCACAUUCUUAAAAUAAAGUGGUGAUCCUAGCUGACCUAAGACAGGGAAUUUUUACUUGGAUUAAAUGUCAGGAAUUGUGAAACUGAGUUUAAAUGUAUUUGGCUAAGAUGUAUGUAAACUUCCGACUUCAACUGUAUGUUAAUAGAUAUUGGCAUACAUUUGGGUUUACAAAUUUUGCAGACAUUUUUUGUUAACAAUGUUUUAUUGUAUAAUGUUGGAAGACCUGCACCCAUGCCUAUUUCAGCUCACCCCACACCUGAGAUGCCUUUCAAUCACUUGAUGAUGGAUUUUAUCGAGCUCUCUACCUGUCAGGGUAAGUACUUACAGGAAGGCCGAUGAAGAUGGACAACACGCCAGUGAAGCAGGCCCAGUUUACCUUGACUGGUGGGGACGACCAGAUGGUAAAGUAUAUGAUAGAUUUCAGAGUUUUGUUUAGUUCUAUCUAUACACAGGUGCCGAGCUGCCCUGCCCAAGCCAAAGGGAGGACAGCUGCAUAUGAUCUCCCCUGGCGACUGGAUCGUGGUGAAGAAUCUGAGACGAAUGCACUGGCACCAACCUCGGUGGAGGGGACCAUACCAAGUGCUGCUGACCCCUCCGACUAUGGUCAGGAUCGCUGAAAGGGACAACUGGAUCCAAGGAUCCCACUGCCUGAACGUGGGCAACCCUGAGGACGAUCAGAUAUGAGUAGGUGGACCACAAAACAAGUGGAGUGGAAGAACCUGUCAAUGUUGGGGCUCUGGACAUCUAGACCUGGAUCUAGACCUGGAUCUAGCUGCUACCCGAGUGACUAUUGGCUAACGUCGGUCCCGGAGCUAACAUCAAUUAUUCCGGAGCUAGCCAGCUGAAGAGUUCCAUCAGCCACUCCUGGGCUACAAUCACCUAUCCGGACCCGUUUUACUGCCGAUGCGGAGCCCCAUCGGGCCUUCACGACUGGACUACCGACGUUAUCUGCCCGAUGGCGUUAUCCAACUGGCCCCUCCGUCGCGACGUAACUUGAACGCCCAUCUGCGGCCUGCUAAUUGUUAGCUGUCUUAUCAGCUGAUAUCUGAUUAUGUCUAUCGGACAAUUUUCUUGGGCCACUAUAACUAUAACUAUUUUGCCAAUUGGACUGGUCCCCCCUACCACACGGAACCCCACUAAUCUACAGACGGAAAUGCACAAGGUGGCUAAAAACAGACCUCCCUCCAUCUUCUGCCAGCUUGCUACCUAUGAUCCGGCUAGCUGUCUGAAUCUCACAGGACCCUUAUGAUCACUCAGCUAAGCAUGCCUCUCCUUAAUGUCAAUAUGCCUUGUCAAUUGCUGUUCUGGUUAGUGUUUAUUGGCUUAUUUCACUGUAGAGACUCUAGCCCUGCUCAUUAUACCUUAUCCAACCUUUUAGUUCCACCACCUACACAUGCUAUGACAUCUUCUGCUUUCAAUGAUGUUUCUAGAGACAAUAUCACUCUCAUCAUCACUCAAUGCUUAGGUUUACCUCCACUGUAUUCACAUCCUACCAUACCUUUGUCUUUACAUUAUACCUUGAAGCUAUUUUAUCGCCCCCAGAAACCUGCUCCUUUUACUCUCUAUUCUGGACGUCAUCGACGACCAAUUCUCAUAGCUUUAGCCGUACCCUUAUCUUGCUCCUCUGUUCCUCUGGUGAUGUAGAGGUGAAUCCAGGCCCUGCAGUGCCUAGCUCCACUCCUAUUCCCCAGGCGCUCUUUUGUGAUGACUUCUGUAACCGUAAUAGCCAUGGUUUCAUGCAUGUUAACAUUAGAAGCCUUCUCCGGAAGUUUGUUUUAUUCACUGCUUUAGCACACUCUGCCAACCCGGAUGUCCUAGCCGUGUCUGAAUCCUGGCUUAGGAAGUCCACCAAAAACUCUGAAAUCCUCAUCCCUAACUACAACAUUUUCAGACAAGAUAGAACGGCCAAAGGGGGCGGUGUUGCAAUCUACUGCAGAGAGCCUGCAGAGUUCUGUCCUACUAUCCAGAAAUAAAAAAGAGAUGGAGCUACUGAGGCCUGCACUUCUUAUUGUCUUUAUCUCAAAAGCAA
rnacentral:lncRNA from 1 species